CCUACGGGCGGCAGCAGUGGGGAAUAUUGCACAAUGGGGGAAACCCUGAUGCAGCGACGCCGCGUGAGUGAAGAAGUAUUUCGGUACGUAAAGCUCUAUCAGCAGGGAAGAAAAUGACGGUACCUGACUAAGAAGCCCCGGCUAACUACGUGCCAGCAGCCGCGGUAAUACGUAGGGGGCAAGCGUUAUCCGGAUUUACUGGGUGUAAAGGGAGCGUAGACGGCAGCGCAAGUCUGGAGUGAAAUCCCAUGGCUGAACCAUGGAACUGCUUUGGAAACUGUGCAUCUAGAGUGCAGGAGAGGUAAGCGGAAUUCCUAGUGUAGCGGUGAAAUGCGUAGAUAUUAGGAGGAACACCAGUGGCGAAGGCGGCUUACUGGACUGUAACUGACGUUGAGGCUCGAAAGCGUGGGGAGCAAACAGGAUUAGAUACCCUAGUAGUC
rnacentral:rRNA from 1 species